UACGGGGGGAGCAAACGUUGUUCGGAAUCACUGGGCGUAAAGCGCACGUAGGCGGACUUGUCAGUCAGGGGUGAAAUCCCGGGGCUCAACCUCGGAACUGCCUCUGAUACAGCAAGUCUUGAGUCCGGAAGAGGUGGGUGGAAUUCCUAGUGUAGAGGUGAAAUUCGUGGAUAUUAGGAAGAACACCGGUGGCGAAGGCGGCCCACUGGUCCGGUACUGACGCUGAGGUGCGAAAGCGUGGGGAGCAAACAGG
rnacentral:rRNA from 1 species